ACGGAAAAAGGAGAAUUCUUAGUUGGCUGGUGCAUUCUGCCGUUGUCUGUUAAAUAAUAAAAUCAAAACAAUUUGCUGGAGUUUCUUAAAGUUUUGUGGUGCCUUAAGUACUUUUCUUAGCGUAUAGUUCUGUGAAAUUUUUUUUCAUUUCUUUUUUUUUUUUUUGAGUAUCUUUGUAGUUUUACCAAAAGAAUAGUAAUUUUUCUUAUUAUAUAGAUUGUAUGAUUUUCUUACGCCUAUUAUCGGCCUCCAUUUGUAUAUACACAUUUAAUUAGGCAAUCGUAGGAGCACAGAGGGCGUCGAAAUGACGUGCCACAUCCUGAUGCACACAGACAACCUGAAGAGCAAUAAUAACACAUCUAAUUUCUUUACAUGAAAAGGAAAGGCAACACAGAUUAAGUGUUGGUUAAUGUGUACUAAGACUUGUACUAAAGUGUACGAGAAGCAAGCAGGAAAUUCCUAUUCAGUUUAUUUUGAAAAUCAAUCGCGUCAUUCGCUUCCGAAGUGGAAAACAACUUUAAUAUGCACAGCACCUUUGACGUUAUUCACCAUCGUUGUUGACACACAGAACUUCUUUCUACUAGAAACUCGAGAUGGUGUUGAAAACUCUUCUAAACCGUUUGGCGUAGCUAUUCAUAAAACAACAAAGCCUUUACAUUAUCUUUUCCCAGUUUCUUAUGGCAACGGUAUUGUUUUCUAUUGUAGCGCUUCAUCGUUGAAACUGAAUCACGCGUGAUUGCAAAGAUUUCUAAAGGGACCCUAUUUAGCGCGUGAAUGAAAACUAUAACACCAGGUAUUAACAUCAAUAGCAAGUGCUUCAUCACAAAACGAAACUCUAGAAAAACAAAAUUCCAACUAGUUGGAAUGACUCGACGGCAUCCGGAAUGAAUCACAGGUAGCUUUGGAACAACAUGUUGGCGGAUAGUUUUGACUAGUGGACACACGCAAUUGCGCUACUGAUGCUCAUUAUUCAUAGCCAUUUCGUGCCAUUGGAUAACUACACCAUCGUCAAUAAUGACGAAAUCGAAACAAAAAAAAGGCGGUGAAAAAUGAUCAUUCCGCAACGUUUAUGAAUGACGAAGAAAAAGAAGAAAUAUAAAUACUUCUGUAUACGCGAUACAUGGGUUUGCAACGAUGCUGGAAGCCUCACAGUUCUUCACGCGCUUCAUUCGCUCGCAUAACAAUGGUUAGUGGGAUGGGGAAGAUAAUUAUGCGUUUCUUCGAUAUUUGAAAAUGCAUACGACACGAGCGAUUAGAGGUAGUGUAGGAAUAGUGGUUGUUAUGUCAGAAUGAACAGGUGGACCCUCUGGCCUGAAAAGACGAAUCAGGAUGAUAGAAAACCUUAUAAAACGAGGUCAAAUCGAAGGUAGAGGUUAGUCGAGUGAACAUCUCUGACACAGUAUAGUACUAGCAGUCUUUCAAAUACCAAUAGCUGAUUUAAUAUAGUGUCUUCCAGUUCCAACCUGCAAUCAUGGGUAAUGUACACACUUCAACUUGUUUAAUGAUUUUAGUUAAUGUGAUGAUGCAAUUGUUGAUUAAAUUGAUGUUUGAACGAGGUGAAAUGAUUCUUUAUUGUCGUUUUAAGCAUUUCAAUGUCAUAAUGGAAUUAUGAAAAUUAAUGUUUGUUUUUUUUUCGUCAGGUUAU